AACCCCAUGGUUUCCCCUGGAAAGCCAGGACCUAUUUCGUUCUCCCUCUCCGCUAGUCCUUCGUAACAGCCUCCGAGCCAGACCACUGCCUGCGCUCCCGGCUCCGAGGGAGGCAGCAGAUAAACUACCCCACUGUCCCUUCCACACCCACUGGGGAUAUUGUUCGCAGCAGGCGGCGAGGGGGCGGGCACUGGCCUCUUCCCUUCCCAUUGGCUCAGCCGCGGAGGGCGCGGCGCGGGGUGCUCUGGGAUAUGUAGUUCUGUGCUGGUGCCGUGGCUGUGGCGCAUGUGCAGAGAGUGUAUGAGGUGAGUGGUGGGGGUAUACGCCAUAGCUUGUGCUGUUGGACGCUGGAGAGCGGAGCGAGGCUGCGGGUCGGGACAGGUCGGAUUGGGUCAGGUCUGAUCAGAGGGAUGAGGAUGCCCUCAAUCUCCAUCCCCAGCUUCCAGCACGCCCUCUGGGAGACAGGAAACAGACACGCCAAGCUCGUCCUUCAUACGGCAUUGUUCUACCGAGCACAAUGAGGUUUGUAAUGCUGAACAGAGGAACACCUAAAUGUCCUUACCAAGAAAAGAAAAGAAACCAGAGGGGGUGUGAAGAGUGGAGCAUGCAGCCAGACGCCUCUCCCUCAGUUUCAUUGGUUACCCUCUCCACUAUCUGCCAGCACUUACAUAGGUUGCAUGUAGACAGAGAUUGAUGAGCGGCCAGCAGCUGUGAACAGCAGAGACUGUAAUGAGACAGUGGCUUCACAAAACUGUAAAUCCAGUUGUAGGAUAGCUAGGAUUAGAUUAAAAAUGCUGCUGCCCUUAGACACAAGAUGCUGAAGUAGUAUAAGACUACUCUGUUUGAUUAAAGGGUGGUGGUGGUGAGAAUAUUUAAAUAAACAAAUGAAGGAAUAAUUUUUAUCUGGCAGAAUUAUCCAAGAUUGGGUAUCAAAUAACCUUAUUUAUGAAUGAACUUUCUUUGCCAGCCCAAAGGCUCUUUGACAGUUCUUUCGUGCUCCCUUUCUGCACUUGUCAUGGAACCCAAAUGAUUCCAAGAAAUCCCUGUAUAUGCAUAAGUUUGGGUGCAUGUUUUUUGUCUUUUAUUUGGACCCUUGCUGAAAUCCAGCAUUUUGUUGUAAACUGUCUUAGCUCCAACAACAGCAGCUUUGAAGAAUUUCCUGGUGGCAUAGUGUCACUGAUCAGACAGAGCCUGGAUUAGAGCCACAGUGGAAAUCAUGUUCUUGGCAAGCACAUUCCUUAGGCACUGUUCCACAUGAUCCCAAGUGGACCAAAUCAGAGGUAUUUAACCUGCUUUGUUUCUGUGGAAAACAUCUAUCAAGAACACCAUGGGAACUCAAGGCAUGAAUUCUUCGGUAGUGUCCUUUCUUUGGAAAUGUGUCAGCCUGGAGACUUCGAACAGUGCAGAACUGGGUUAAGAAUCCUGCCUCCAGGAAGGCCAAUAAUAAACAUGAAUGCGACCUAAAACACAGAGCUUCCCUUCCCUUCUACCACAUCUAUCAUCAUUGCACCUGCUUCUGACUCACCUGAUGUUCUCCUAGGAUUUUCUCACAUCAUAACUGUGUGGUGGCAACCAUGAGAAAACAGGCUGAAAAGAAGAGUGAAAAGAAGAGAGAAUGAUGAGAUCAGAACUCAGAUCCUUCUGUUAGCUUAUUGAGAUAUAAGAACAAGGAAUGGUUAUUAUGAAGAAGAGUCAUUGCUCUGAAGGCAAAUGAACAAGCUGGCUUCCUUCUGGCUUCAGCAGGAGACAAUGACAGCUCUAUCCAGCAACCACCCUUCUAUUUUUAGAGGUCACAUUACUAACAGCUCAUAUGCAUUAGCUUCAGUUUAGUCAUCUGAACUAUUCUGUAAUUACUAAUUUAAUGUUAUUAAAGUAUUUAUAUCUAAUAUCAAUGCAAAUAUCACCAUGUGGAGUAAGCCAAUGUCAGGUUGACCUGUCAACCCCUGGCAGAAUGCCCUAAGUGGCAGAAAAGGGACAGGAGAAUGAGUUAAAGCUGGAAAAGCUGUAGAAAGGCCUUGCAAAGGUAAAGAAGAAAAUAAGAAAUUAAUAUGAUAAAAAUCUGCCACUUUAUUUUUUCCAGAAAAUUCACAAAGUGAGUGGGAAACAGGACCAGGACAGUGAUAGAUAUGUCUGAGAACUGUCAUUUUCUUCAGCAGCCCAUGGGGGGAAAUCUGUGGAGAAACAGGGAGCUGGUCAAUGAUACCCAUUUUGCUCAGUCUGUCAUUCCUACAGGUCAAGGAGCAGCAGUGGAGAAGGUGAAGUUUACUGAAGGGUGAAAAUCCUGUGUCAGCCUAGUAGAUGGAAGAUAAUAACUGCACAUAAAGAAAGAUGAAGUUCAAGUUGCCAUGUCAACAAGGUGGUAUCUAUGUGGAAAUGUAAUGGCUGUUGGCAAAAGGUCUUCUUCUGGCUUAGUACCCACCAGUGCUCCCCACUGAGGAGUUUUUCAUCAGUGACAAGAGAAUCAUCUCAACUGCACUCUUCUGUAAGAGAACAUGCAGGAAGAAAUUACUGUACUGUGUAGUUUCAGAGUAAAAAGAUGCCUACAGGGGGAGUACUGGAGAAGAAUGACACCAAAAUGCAGAAGAAAAGGAAAACAAUUUUCUAACAAAAACUAGUCUUCUUGCUUGUGUUGUUCCUUGUUCAAAGGUAAAGAUGUAAUUUUUUUAUAUGAAAAUUUUCAUCUCUUACAGUCCCAGGAAAAAGUGGAAUUUUGAAGCAAUUGAGAAGAUUUUCCAAAGUCUGUUGCUCUGCCUGCAUUUCACAAGCCAGAGAGAUAGUAUUUUUUGAUAGUUACAUGCUCAGAAUGUGAAGUCCUUCCUGCGGCUUUUUUUGCAAAGCACAGAUAUAAGCUGUGCCUGCCCAAGUUUAUGUAUGAACAUGUAAAAGCUAAAAGCUGUGAACUUGGCCUAUACUGUACUUUGGCAAAAGGUGGUUUUAUCAGAUGUAUAACUGUGAUACCAGAAUAUUCAAUUAAAAAAAAAAAAGGAAAUACUGUAGACAGUAUUGUCAAUUUCAAAUAUUGUUCUGUAUUCUACAAAUACAGAAAGAAAUAGAAGCAAAGAGAAGUGCCUAGACAGAAAACUUAUUAUUGCUAAGAAGAAGAAUAGAUAUAUUCUAAACAUAGGUCUUAGUAUGUCAGAGACGAGUCAAAUUGAUUUUGUAGAUGUAUCAGAGUAAAAGCCAACAGGAAUUAACAGGGCAUUUUGUACUUUAAAAAAAGGGGGGAAAAAAAGAAGUUAAAUAUGUUACUUAAUAGGAAGCCACUGGUUCCAGAAGCAGAGAACGUGUCACAAGAGAAGAAUAACUGCAAAGAUAAAUAGAAGUAUGCACCUGUUCACCAUAUACAAAAUAUUGCAAUACCACCCAAUACCACAAAGCAAAUUAGAUGCUUAUUUUCCUGUCAUAUUUCACCUGUUCCAGAACAGAUGAUUUCCUGAUAGUCUAAAUAUGUCCCCAACUUAACCAAUAUAUUCAGGAAUCAAGAAAAAGAAAAAAGAUUCACAGAUUAAUUUUGUUUUUUGAAGGGCUUAGUCCUGUGUUUUUCUGUGAGCUAAAUGGUUAUACUGAGUCCAAUGCAUUGUCAUAUUGACUUGUGCAGUUAUAUUUACCGCUUCAAAUCAACCCCAACAUCUUUUGUAGCAUAUAAUACAGAUUUAUUUUUAUUUUCUGGAGCAACUUAUGCAAACAGAAUGUUUACUGAGAUAAGACUAUAUAAAGGUUGUAUAAAGUUAUGCCAUCACUUGUGCAGAAUUAUGCAUCUAAGUAAAGAUGGGUCCACAGCUUAGAAAAAGAAACAUUAUUCAUGAAUAUACAUCUUAAAUUAAGUGAUAGAAUAAAAUAUAUGAUUGGAUAAAGUGAUUUUUUUGUGGUUUCUCUUCUGUGUAGAUUGUUUUUGCAGGGGGGCAAAAAAAUAUAUCUGUGCCUUCUCUUUAAGUCAGUAAGUGCCCUCUGGGUCAAUUAUCAAAGAGGAAGGGAAGCUCUUUACGGUCAUCUUACUAAAGGAAUUACAGAGCUCUUCAAAGAGAUUACAAGCUUUUGGGUACUGUAACACCCACAUCAAUAAUAUUAAAUAGCAUUUGCUAUUAAAGGGAAUCCUGUUACGAAUGAGUUUCUGGUCUAAAACUCAGAUUCCAUCUAAUCUUUUAGUUGGUUUCAUUCCUUUGACACAGACUUGAAUAGAAGCAUUACGUUUGCUCCAGCUGUGUAGCAUUGCUUUAAUACCAGCAACUGCAAAGAUAUUUUUUGCUCAGACCAUAGAAGUAUCUGGAAUUUUGGGUAUUGUUUUGGAACUUUUUCAAAUCUGUUGUUUUCUGGUACUAUGAAGUGUUCUUUUUAUUCUCUACAAAUAAAAAAUCUUUUCUGCAGCUGCCAUUAGAGUCCAGUUUUACAUCUUGUCUUUCAAAUCACUAAUAACCUGUAACCAAAUGUCUGUCAUGUCCUAUCCUUAGUUGACAAGGAUCUUUUAAGCAUGGGUGUGUGUACUCUCACGCUGGAAAAGCACAGAGGAGGAAUGUUGGAAUGGGUGUAAAGUGAUUGAUAUAUAUAUACUAUGCUGAUUGAUAUAUAUGUGUGAUUUCAUGUGCACUGUAUUUGUGUAUGUUAUCCACAUGGAAGAAGAUGUGUUUUUUUCAAAUUUGCCAUUUUUAUGCUCACUUAUUUGCAAUGGCCUUUUUUGAGAAAUAGUAGUUUCAUUCUGUGUAAAUAGGCAGCCAUUUGACACCUAAUUAAUAAACUGGCUAUAUUCUGCUCA